CGACGCGGUGGGGCACGACAUCAACUACUUAAAGAACCAAGAGAAAUAACCCAACCCCACCCCACCUCGAUCCCGGCCGUCACCUGCGGAAGGGCUCGUCACUCGCGCGGGUGAGGUUUGCCGACUGAGCUGGAUUUCGGACCGGUUGGCAGGCAUAUGCUCGCGCUGAUCGACCUUCGAUCAACCUUCGAUCGACCUAUCAGACAUCGAACAGCCCCCGGCCGGGACGGCAAUCCCGAACCGAGGGCCUAGCCACCAAGGAAGAGAACGCUUCCCG
rnacentral:ncRNA from 1 species